GUAGGUGGCAAGCGUUGUCCGGAAUUAUUGGGCGUAAAGAGCAUGUAGGCGGGCUUUUAAGUCUGACGUGAAAAUGCGGGGCUUAACCCCGUAUGGCGUUGGAUACUGGAAGUCUUGAGUGCAGGAGAGGAAAGGGGAAUUCCCAGUGUAGCGGUGAAAUGCGUAGAUAUUGGGAGGAACACCAGUGGCGAAGGCGCCUUUCUGGACUGUGUCUGACGCUGAGAUGCGAAAGCCAGGGCAGCAAACGGGAUUAGAUACCCCGGUAGUCCUGGCCGUAAACGAUGGAUACUAGGUGUAGGAGGUAUCGACCCCUUCUGUGCCGGAGUUAACGCAAUAAGUAUCCCGCCUGGGGACUACGAUCGCAAGAUUGAAACUCAAA
rnacentral:rRNA from 1 species